rnacentral:rRNA from 1 species
UACGUAGGUGGCAAGCGUUUGUCCGGAUUUAUUGGGUUUAAAGGGUGCGUAGGUGGUCUAUUAAGUCAGUGCUGAAAUAUCCCGGCUUAACCGGGAGGGUGGCAUUGAUACUGAUGGACUUGAGUAAAGUUGAGGUGGCGGAAUUGACGGUGUAGCGGUGAAAUGCUUAGAUAUCGUCAAGAACACCUAUUGCGAAGGCAGCUCACUAAGCUUUAACUGACACUGAGGCACGAAAGUGUGGGGAUCAAACAGG